GGGGGAUAUUGGACAAUGGGGGGAACCCUGAUCCAGCGACGCCGCGCGAGUGAAGAAGUAUCUCGGUAUGUAAAGCUCUAUCAGCAGGGAAGAAGAAAUGACGGUACCUGAGUAAGAAGCCCCGGCUAACUAC
rnacentral:rRNA from 1 species